rnacentral:misc_RNA from 1 species
GAGGCUUAUUUGCAGCAAGAACUGGAAAAGCUGCAGGAUGUGAGAAAUAAAGUAAAGCUGGAAGGUGAACUGUGGGAUGAACUUGUAUCAAGCUCAAGUCAGAACUCACACAUGGUUCAAAGAGCUACUCGUUUGUGGGACUCUUUGCUGUCUCGCAAGAAUCAACAUGAAAUUCUCGCCUCUGGCCCGAUAGAAGAUCUUAUUGCUCAUCGUGAGCAUAGGUAUCGCAUCUCUGGUUCAGCUUUGCUCACUGCUAUGGAUCAAAGCCCUGUAGCUCCACCACCCCAUUUGGCGUCUUCACAUCAAGCUGUAAGAUCACAAGCAGACGUGGAUAGAGAAAAGCAUGCAAGGAG